rnacentral:lncRNA from 1 species
CUGAGGAGCUGGGCUCAUCCUGUCUCAGAGCUGCUGUUGCUGCUGAGCAGGUCCACAAGUCCUUACUCUUAGGCAGAUUAAGGGCUCAGGGAGCUGUGUGAUUCAUCUAAGGUGACACCGGUUGUAACUUGAGCCAUGAACCACCAAGCUCAAAUAACCCUUUCCUCAAAAUUGGCAGAUGAAGAAAACCAGCAGCUUGGAGGGUUUUCUGAUCCUCGUGACUUCUGAGAAAGCAGCAUGGUGGAGAAGGAAAGUGGCUGGAUAUCUUCCAGGGCAGAGCUCAAGUCCUGGUUACUCACACCAUCACCAACAUCCCUCUAUUUGUCCUAGAGGGGCAAUCACUCUCAUAGCCUUUGAAGGAGAAAGUAAAUCACACACGCCCAGUGGAGCGGCUGGCAUCCUCUUUGGUCAAGGCAAAACCAUGCCUGGGCCCAGCAGAAGAGAAGGAAGAAGGAAGACAGAAUGAGACAAAGGAAAAGAAAAGAGA